rnacentral:lncRNA from 1 species
GUAGAUGGUCCCCUCCAUGAAGAACCUCCAAGUAAGGUGACCAGGUAGAACCAACUCCCAUGUGAUGGCCAAAGGAUCAGUUGUCCAGAAGUACCAAAAAAUCACGUCAAAGCUACGGACCAAGACUGUUUCUUGAAUCACAGCCUUGUUUUUAAUCCCAACUAAAAGUAUUUACCCCAACCAAAGGUUUCACGAACCUCAGCGAUUUGGACCUCAGACCCUAAAAGAAACAGAUGUUUUUCAUGAGGUUUGGGGUUUUGUAACAGGAGAUUUCCAUGGUUUUAAUACCCAAAUCUACACCUGUUCCUCAAACUAUAAGGGAUAGAUUUAUGUCAUGCAGUGUAGUGGGCUGAUCCUAACACCCUUGUCGUGAGACAGAUUUACUGUAGCUGUCAAGACAAAUUUGCUGUAAGAAGUCAAUACCUCUCAGCCUGCCGGUGCCUUAAGGAGAAAAGGACUGGAUGUUUAAUGCUGUAAAUAUUUUAUUCUUGCUCUGCUAUACAAACCUCGCUCGGCCUCUCCCAACCAACUUCUAUUAUGCUCCAGUUUCUCAUGAGUAAAAUGGGGACAACACUUGUGAGAGUGGAGGGGAUAAGACCAGUGAAGAAAGGAAACUUCUGCCCAGGAAGUCAGUUCAGCAAAAAGAUGAGCCAUGUGGAUAGAGGAAGGACACCGAGCUGGCAGCAAAACCUGAUUGUACAAGCUAACCCUGUUGGGUGGAAACAGCUCCUGCUGGUGGGACGACUGGAGGCUCCCUGCUCCCCUGGGCGUGCUGCACCGGCUGCAGUGGGGUUGCAUUGCCAGAAUGCUGGAUUCAGAAGUGGGAGAAAAAGCAGAAGAGCUGCCAGGGGCUGCCCGGAUGUACGGUGCGGUGCGUGCACGGAGGAAACACGAGCCAUUGCACCGGCUGUUUGGCAGUUGAGGAGGACAUCAGGCCUCUGAAAUACCUUGCUGCCUGUGCUCCUCGGAGUCUUCAGUGAUGCAGAACUCAGCCCACUGCCAUGAGAUGGCUGUCAGUCCCAAACUGUGUUAGUUUCAGUCCCUCAUUGCAGCGCUCUCCUUUCAGUGGUAGUGUACUCCUGUCCCCAGGCCCCAAGGAAGACGAGGGGAAUCACUCUGCAGACGCAUGGAGGUGCAGUCCCUUGGCUUCUGCUGACUUCCAGCAAGGCAGUGGGAAUGAUUUGAGUACUUUUUAUGUAAAGAUAUAAAUCUAAUGGAAGGAAUAAUCAUCAUUUACUGUUCAGACCAUUAUUGGUUCUCUUUAAGUUGGCAAUGAAUAAUGCCAAAGGUGCUUACAUAAAAAAGACACUUUGGAAAUAUGUCCGGCUAAUUGAUUAAGUAGUCAAUCAGUAGUAGUAGUACAAAGUGAGCCAAUAAAAAAGAAACAAGACUGUCA